UUUUAGCUAGCCAGCUUACAAGUCUUACAACGAUAAAACAAUUAUUCACUCUUUUCACUUCUGUUCCGUCAUCAUGGGGUUUCUGUAAAUAAAUUCCUUCAAAUCUUUCCUCAGGAUUAUGUUGCUGUGGCACACGAUGCAAUAAACGUUAUUACCGAAGCUUUAAAGGAGAAGCCUUGUUUGUCACUGAAUGGAAAUGAUAGACUCUUACAUGAUACAGAUAUGUUUGACUGCAUGAGAAAGGUUACAUUCAACGGUAUGACUGGGUCUGUGCAGUUUGAUAACAGGGGAAGGCGAACAGACGUCUCCCUGGAAAUCUUAAAUCUUCGAAAUGAUUCUUUCCAAAAGAUUGGUUGUUGGAAUUCAACGGAACGAGCAGUUCUUUUUGAAGAUCCAUUACCAAACACUUUACCAGGAUCGUCAAGUAAUGGAGAAGUAAAAGGCAGACAUUUUAGGAUUGUAUAUGUUGAGGUAUUUGUAUUAAGAAGAUUGCAAGUGCGUUAAAAGGUAUUAUCAUUUACUACGGGAAGUAGCU